GGGUGCGAUCAUACCAGCACUAACGCACCGGAUCCCAUCAGAACUCCGGAAUUAAGAGUGCUUCGACAAGAGUAGUACUAGGAUGGGUGACCUCCUGGGAUGUCCUCGUGUUGCACCCC
rnacentral:rRNA from 1 species